rnacentral:rRNA from 1 species
GAAUUUAAGCAUAUAAUUAAGCGGAGGAAAAGAAACUAACUAGGAUUCCCCCAGUAAGGGCGACUGAAGCGGGAUGUGCUCAAGAUGUGAAUCUGCGCUAAUUGAAUUAGGCGCCGAAUUGUGGUCUGAAGACGUUGAUACUACCAGCCGGGCCAAGUCCCUUGGAACAGGGCAGCUGAGAGGGUGAGACUCCCGUUCGCCCGGUAGGAUGAAUCAUCUGUCAACGAGUCGGGUUGUUUGGGAUUGCAGCUCAAAGUUGGUGGUAAAUUCCAUCUAAAGCUAAAUAUUGGUGGGAGACCGAUAGCGUACAAGUACCGUGAGGGAAAGAUGCAAAGAACUUUGAAAAGAGAGUUAAAGAGUACCUGAAAUUGCUGAAAGGGAAGCGAAGGAAACCAGUGUUGGCUUGGUCAUAUUUCCCUGUCCGCUUGCGGUUUGGGCGCUGUGUCCGGCUUUAGUUGUUCUUGAUUGGGACCCUUGGAAGAGCGCAGUGAGAGUUGAUCUCUGUUGCUGGCAUUGGUCUUGAUUGAGUACGACGAAAUGGUUUUCUUUACCCCGUCUUGAAACACGGACCAAGGAGUCUAACAUAUGUGCGAGUACAGGGGUGGCAAACCCCCGUGCGUAAUGAAAGUGACAGUGGUUGGACUAUUUUGCACAAUCCGCCGGCCUCAAUCCCUCGGGAGAACGGUCUGAGUGUGAGCAUACAUGUUGGGACCCGAAAGAUGGUGAACUAUGCCUGAAUAGGGUGAAGCCAGGGGAAACUCUGGUGGAGGCUCGUAGCGAUUCUGACGUGCAAAUCGAUCGUCAAAUUUGGG